CACGUAGGGCGCGAGCGUUGUCCGGAAUUAUUGGGCGUAAAGAGCUCGUAGGCGGCCUGUUGCGUCCGCUGUGAAAGCCCGGGGCUUAACCCCGGGUCGGCAGUGGAUACGGGCAGGCUAGAGGUAGGUAGGGGAGAAUGGAAUUCCCGGUGUAGCGGUGAAAUGCGCAGAUAUCGGGAGGAACACCGGUGGCGAAGGCAGCUCGCUGGGACGUUACUGACACUAAGGCGCGAAAGCGUGGGGAGCGAACAGG
rnacentral:rRNA from 1 species